rnacentral:rRNA from 1 species
UUUAUGGAGAGUUUGAUCCUGGCUCAGGAUGAACGCUGGCGGCGUGCCUAAUACAUGCAAGUCGAGCGAACUGACGAGGAGCUUGCUCCUUUGACGUUAGCGGCGGACGGGUGAGUAACACGUGGGUAACCUACCUAUAAGACUGGAAUAACUCCGGGAAACCGGGGCUAAUGCCGGAUAACAUAUCGAACCGCAUGGUUCGAUAGUGAAAGACGGUUUUGCUGUCACUUAUAGAUGGACCCGCGCCGUAUUAGCUAGUUGGUGAGGUAACGGCUCACCAAGGCGACGAUACGUAGCCGACCUGAGAGGGUGAUCGGCCACACUGGAACUGAGACACGGUCCAGACUCCUACGGGAGGCAGCAGUAGGGAAUCUUCCGCAAUGGGCGAAAGCCUGACGGAGCAACGCCGCGUGAGUGAUGAAGGUCUUCGGAUCGUAAAGCUCUGUUGUUAGGGAAGAACAAAUGUGUAAGUAACUGUGCACAUCUUGACGGUACCUAACCAGAAAGCCACGGCUAACUACGUGCCAGCAGCCGCGGUAAUACGUAGGUGGCAAGCGUUAUCCGGAAUUAUUGGGCGUAAAGCGCGCGUAGGCGGU